rnacentral:rRNA from 1 species
CGGGCGGACGGGUGAGUAACGCGUGGGUAACCUGCCUCAUACAGGGGGAUAACAGUUAGAAAUGACUGCUAAUACCGCAUAAGACCACAGCACUGCAUGGUGCGGGGUAAAAACUCCGGUGGUAUGAGAUGGACCCGCGUCUGAUUAGCUAGUUGGUAAGGUAACGGCUUACCAAGGCGACGAUCAGUAGCCGACCUGAGAGGGUGACCGGCCACAUUGGGACUGAGACACGGCCCAA